rnacentral:rRNA from 1 species
GCCGAGCGGUAGAGAUUCUUCGGAAUCUUGAGAGCGGCGUACGGGUGCGGAACACGUGUGCAACCUGCCUUUAUCUGGGGGAUAGCCUUUCGAAAGGAAGAUUAAUACCCCAUAAUAUAUUGACUGGCAUCAGUUGAUAUUGAAAACUCCGGUGGAUAGAGAUGGGCACGCGCAAGAUUAGAUAGUUGGUGAGGUAACGGCUCACCAAGUCUACGAUCUUUAGGGGGCCUGAGAGGGUGAUCCCCCACACUGGUACUGAGACACGGACCAGACUCCUACGGGAGGCAGCAGUGAGGAAUAUUGGACAAUGGGUGAGAGCCUGAUCCAGCCAUCCCGCGUGAAGGACGACGGCCCUAUGGGUUGUAAACUUCUUUUGUAUAGGGAUAAACCUACUCUCGUGAGAGUAGCUGAAGGUACUAUACGAAUAAGCACCGGCUAACUCCGUGCCAGCAGCCGCGGUAAUACGGAGGGUGCAAGCGUUAUCCGGAUUUAUUGGGUUUAAAGGGUCCGUAGGCGGAUCUGUAAGUCAGUGGUGAAAUCUCACAGCUUAACUGUGAAACUGCCAUUGAUACUGCAGGUCUUGAGUGUUGUUGAAGUAGCUGGAAUAAGUAGUGUAGCGGUGAAAUGCAUAGAUAUUACUUAGAACACCAAUUGCGA